rnacentral:rRNA from 1 species
CACCGAUGUCUCUAUUAUACAGAGCUCGCUCGUGCUACAAUGGACAGAACAAAGGGCUGCGAGACCGCAAGGUUUAGCCAAUCCCACAAAUCUGUUCUCAGUUCGGAUCGCAGUCUGCAACUCGACUGCGUGAAGCUGGAAUCGCUAGUAAUCGCGGAUCAGCAUGCCGCGUUGAAUACGUUCCCGGGCCUUGUACACACCGCCGGUCACACCACGAGAGUGUGCAACACCCGAAGUCGGUGAGGUAACCUUUAUGGAGCCAGCCGCCGAAGGGGGGGCAGAUGAUUGGGGUGAAGUCGUAACAAGGUAGUCGUAUCGGAAGGCGCUCUUGGAUCA